rnacentral:rRNA from 1 species
AACGAACGCUGGCGGCAUGCCUAACACAUGCAAGUCGAACGAGACCUUCGGGUCUAGUGGCGCACGGGUGCGUAACGCGUGGGAACCUGCCCUUAGGUUCGGAAUAACUCCCCGAAAGGGGUACUAAUACCGGAUAAUGUCUUCGGACCAAAGAUUUAUCGCCUUUGGAUGGGCCUGCGUUGGAUUAGCUAGUUGGUAGGGUAAAAGCCUACCAAGGCGACGAUCCAUAGCUGGUCUGAGAGGAUGAUCAGCCACACUGGGACUGAGACACGGCCCAGACUCCUACGGGAGGCAGCAGUGGGGAAUAUUGGACAAUGGGCGAAAGCCUGAUCCAGCAAUGCCGCGUGAGUGAUGAAGGCCUUAGGGUUGUAAAGCUCUUUUACCCGGGAUGAUAAUGACAGUACCGGGAGAAUAAGCUCCGGCUAACUCCGUG